UGGGGAAUUUUGGACAAUGGGCGAAAGCCUGAUCCAGCAAUGCCGCGUGUGUGAAGAAGGCCUUCGGGUUGUAAAGCACUUUUGUCCGGAAAGAAAUCCUCUGGGUUAAUACCUCGGGGGGAUGACGGUACCGGAAGAAUAAGCACCGGCUAACUACGUGCCAGCAGCCGCGGUAAUACGUAGGGUGCAAGCGUUAAUCGGAAUUACUGGGCGUAAAGCGUGCGCAGGCGGUUUUGUAAGACGGAUGUGAAAUCCCCGGGCUUAACCUGGGAACUGCAUUCGUGACUGCAAGGCUAGAGUAUGGCAGAGGGGGGUAGAAUCCCACGUGUAGCAGUGAAAUGCGUAGAGAUGUGGAGGAAUACCGAUGGCGAAGGCAGCCCCCUGGGCCAAUACUGACGCUCAUGCACGAAAGCGUGGGGAGCAAACA
rnacentral:rRNA from 1 species